AUUGAACGCUGGCGGCAUGCCUUACACAUGCAAGUCGAACGGCAGCACGGGUGCUUGCACCUGGUGGCGAGUGGCGAACGGGUGAGUAAUACAUCGGAACGUGUCCUGUAGUGGGGGAUAGCCCGGCGAAAGCCGGAUUAAUACCGCAUACGAUCUACGGAUGAAAGCGGGGGACCUUCGGGCCUCGCGCUAUAGGGUUGGCCGAUGGCUGAUUAGCUAGUUGGUGGGGUAAAGGCCUACCAAGGCGACGAUCAGUAGCUGGUCUGAGAGGACGACCAGCCACACUGGGACUGAGACACGGCCCAGACUCCUACGGGAGGCAGCAGUGGGGAAUUUUGGACAAUGGGCGAAAGCCUGAUCCAGCAAUGCCGCGUGUGUGAAGAAGGCCUUCGGGUUGUAAAGCACUUUUGUCCGGAAAGAAAUCCUUGGCCCUAAUACGGUCGGGGGAUGACGGUACCGGAAGAAUAAGCACCGGCUAACUACGUG
rnacentral:rRNA from 1 species